AUUCCGCUCCAUAGCGUAUAUUAAAGUUGUUGCAGUUAAAAAGCUCGUAGUUGAAUUUCGGGGUCAGUAGAUUGGUCGUGCCACAGGUACGUACUGGUCUUACUGAUUCCUCCCUCCUGAUGAACUGUAAUGCCAUUAAUUUGGUGUUGCAGGGAAUCUGGACUGUUACUUUGAAAAAAUUAGAGUGUUUAAAGCAGGCUAACGCUUGAAUACAUUAGCAUGGAAUAAUGAAAUAGGACGCUCGAUCCUAUUUUGUUGGUUUCUAGGAUUGACGUAAUGAUUAAUAGGGAUAGUUGGGGGCAUUAGUAUUCAAUUGUCAGAGGUGAAAUUCUUGGAUUUAUUGAAGACUAACUACUGCGAAAGCAUUUGCCAAGGAUGUUUUCAUUAAUCAAGAACGAAAGUUAGGGGAUCGAAGACGAUCAGAUACCGUCGUAGUCUUAACCAUAAACUAUGCCGACUAGGGAUCGGAUGAUGUUAAUUUUUUAAUGACUCAUUCGGCGCCUUACGGGAAAC
rnacentral:rRNA from 1 species